UCAAGCGAACAAGUGCAUGUGGUGGAUGCCUUGGCGAUCACAGGCGAUGAAGGACGCGGUAGCCUGCGAAAAGCUACGGGGAGCUGGCAAACGAGCUUUGAUCCGUAGAUGUCCGAAUGGGGAAACCCGGCCCUUUUGGGUCAUCCUAGACUGAAUACAUAGGUCUAGUGAAGCGAACGCGGUGAACUGAAACAUCUAAGUAACCGCAGGAAAAGAAAUCAACCGAGAUUCCCAAAGUAGUGGCGAGCGAAAUGGGAUGAGCCUUGCACUCUUUAUUUGUAUUGUUAGCCGAACGCUCUGGAAAGUGCGGCCAUAGCAGGUGAUAGCCCUGUAGGCGAAAACAGUAUGAAAGAACUAGGUGUGCGACAAGUAGGGCGGGACACGUGAAAUCCUGUCUGAAGAUGGGGGGACCAUCCUCCAAGGCUAAAUACUCGUGAUCGACCGAUAGUGAACCAGUACCGUGAGGGAAAGGCGAAAAGAACCCCGGGAGGGGAGUGAAAUAGAUCCUGAAACCGCAUGCAUACAAACAGUCGGAGCCUCGCAAGGGGUGACGGCGUACCUUUUGUAUAAUGGGUCAGCGACUUACGUUCAGUAGCAAGCUUAACCGUAUAGGGCAGGCGUAGCGAAAGCGAGUCCGAAUAGGGCGUUCAGUUGCUGGGCGUAGACCCGAAACCAGGUGAUCUAUCCAUGGCCAGGAUGAAGGUGCGGUAACACGUACUGGAGGUCCGAACCCACUAACGUUGAAAAGUUAGGGGAUGAGCUGUGGAUAGGGGUGAAAGGCUAAACAAACCUGGAAAUAGCUGGUUCUCUCCGAAAACUAUUUAGGUAGUGCCUCGUGUCUCACCUUCGGGGGUAGAGCACUGUCAUGGUUGGGGGGUCUAUUGCAGAUUACCCCGCCAUAGCAAACUCCGAAUACCGAAGAGUGCAAUCACGGGAGACAGACAUCGGGUGCUAACGUCCGGUGUCAAGAGGGAAACAACCCAGACCGCCAGCUAAGGUCCCCAAAUAUAGCUAAGUGGGAAACGAAGUGGGAAGGCUAAAACAGUCAGGAGGUUGGCUUAGAAGCAGCCACCCUUUAAAGAAAGCGUAAUAGCUCACUGAUCGAGUCGUCCUGCGCGGAAGAUGUAACGGGGCUAAGCUAUAUACCGAAGCUGCGGAUGCGAGCUUGCUCGCAUGGUAGGAGAGCGUUCCGUAAGCCUGCGAAGGUGCCUUGUAAAGGGUGCUGGAGGUAUCGGAAGUGCGAAUGCUGACAUGAGUAGCGAUAAAGGGGGUGAAAGGCCCCCUCGCCGUAAGCCCAAGGUUUCCUACGCAACGUUCAUCGGCGUAGGGUGAGUCGGCCCCUAAGGCGAGGCAGAAAUGCGUAGCUGAUGGGAAGCAGGUCAAUAUUCCUGCACCAUUGUUAGAUGCGAUGGGGGGACGGAUCGCGGAAGGUUGUCCGGGUGUUGGAAGUCCCGGUCGCUGCAUUGGAGAAGGCGCUUAGGCAAAUCCGGGCGCAGGAUUCAAGGGUGUGGCGCGAGCUCCUUAGGGAGCGAAGCAAUUGGAAGUGGUUCCAAGAAAAGCCUCUAAGCUUCAGUCUAACGAUGACCGUACCGCAAACCGACACAGGUGGGCGAGAUGAGUAUUCUAAGGCGCUUGAGAGAACUCGGGAGAAGGAACUCGGCAAAUUGGUACCGUAACUUCGGGAUAAGGUACGCCCUUGUAGCUUGACUGGCCUGCGCCAGGAGGGUGAAGGGGUUGCAAUAAACUGGUGGCUGCGACUGUUUAAUAAAAACACAGCACUCUGCAAACACGAAAGUGGACGUAUAGGGUGUGACGCCUGCCCGGUGCCGGAAGAUUAAAUGAUGGGGUGCAAGCUCUUGAUUGAAGUCCCGGUAAACGGCGGCCGUAACUAUAACGGUCCUAAGGUAGCGAAAUUCCUUGUCGGGUAAGUUCCGACCUGCACGAAUGGCGUAACGAUGGCCACACUGUCUCCUCCCGAGACUCAGCGAAGUUGAAGUGUUUGUGAUGAUGCAAUCUACCCGCGGCUAGACGGAAAGACCCCAUGAACCUUUACUGUAGCUUUGCAUUGGACUUUGAACCGAUCUGUGUAGGAUAGGUGGGAGGCUAUGAAACCGGAACGCUAGUUUCGGUGGAGCCGUCCUUGAAAUACCACCCUGGUUUGUUUGAGGUUCUAACCUUGGCCCGUGAUCCGGGUCGGGGACAGUGCAUGGUAGGCAGUUUGACUGGGGCGGUCUCCUCCCAAAGCGUAACGGAGGAGUACGAAGGUACGCUAGGUACGGUCGGAAAUCGUGCUGAUAGUGCAAUGGCAUAAGCGUGCUUAACUGCGAGACCGACAAGUCGAGCAGGUGCGAAAGCAGGUCAUAGUGAUCCGGUGGUUCUGUAUGGAAGGGCCAUCGCUCAACGGAUAAAAGGUACUCUGGGGAUAACAGGCUGAUACCGCCCAAGAGUUCAUAUCGACGGCGGUGUUUGGCACCUCGAUGUCGGCUCAUCUCAUCCUGGGGCUGUAGCCGGUCCCAAGGGUAUGGCUGUUCGCCAUUUAAAGAGGUACGUGAGCUGGGUUUAAAACGUCGUGAGACAGUUUGGUCCCUAUCUGCCGUGGGCGUUGGAUAUUUGAAGGGGGCUGCUCCUAGUACGAGAGGACCGGAGUGGACGAACCUCUGGUGUACCGGUUGUCACGCCAGUGGCAUCGCCGGGUAGCUAUGUUCGGAAGAGAUAACCGCUGAAAGCAUCUAAGCGGGAAACUCGCCUUAAGAUGAGAUAUCCCUGGGGACUAGAUCCCCUUGAAGGGUCGUUCGAGACCAGGACGUUGAUAGGUCAGGUGUGUAAGCGCAGUAAUGCGUUCAGCUAACUGAUACUAAUUGCCCGUAAGGCUUGAUCC
rnacentral:rRNA from 1 species